GGUUAGCGGCGGACGGGUGAGUAACACGUGGGUAACCUGCCUGUAAGACUGGGAUAACAUUCGGAAACGAAUGCUAAUACCGGAUACCCAGCUUGGUCGCAUGACCGGGCUGGGAAAGAUGGAGCAAUCUAUCACUUAUAGAUGGACCCGCGGCGCAUUAGCUAGUUGGUGAGGUAACGGCUCACCAAGGCGACGAUGCGUAGCCGACCUGAGAGGGUGAUCGGCCACACUGGGACUGAGACACGGCCCAGACUCCUACGGGAGGCAGCAGUAGGGAAUCUUCCGCAAUGGACGAAAGUCUGACGGAGCAACGCCGCGUGAGUGAUGAAGGUUUUCGGAUCGUAAAGCUCUGUUGCCAGGGAAGAAUGCUUGGGAGAGUAACUGCUCCCAAGGUGACGGUACCUGAGAAGAAAGCCCCGGCUAACUACGUGCCAGCAGCCGCGGUAAUACGUAGGGGGCAAGCGUUGUCCGGAAUUAUUGGGCGUAAAGCGCGCGCAGGCGGCCUUGUAAGUCUGUUGUUUAAACUUGGGGCUCAACCCCAAGUCGCAAUGGAAACUGCAAAGCUUGAGUGCAGAAGAGGAAAGUGGAAUUCCACGUGUAGCGGUGAAAUGCGUAGAGAUGUGGAGGAACACCAG
rnacentral:rRNA from 1 species